rnacentral:rRNA from 1 species
ACGGGGUGCAGCAGGCGCGAACACUUUACAAUGCGGGAAACCGCGAUAAGGGGACCCCGAGUGCCAGCAUCAAAUGUUGGCUGUCCAGAUGAUUAAAAAUCAUUUGUUAGCAAGGGCCGGGCAAGACCGGUGCCAGCCGCCGCGGUAACACCGGCGGCCCGAGUGGUAGCCGUUUUUAUUGGGUCUAAAGGGUCCGUAGCCGGCCUGAUAAGUCCUUUGGGAAAUCUGGCAGCUUAACUGUCAGGCUUCUAAGGGAUACUGUCAGGCUUGGGACCGGAAGAGGUAAGGGGUACUCCAGGGGUAGGAGUGAAAUCUUGUAAUCCCUGGGGGACCAUCUGUGGCGAAGGCGCCUUACCAGAACGGGUCCGACGGUGAGGGACGAAAGCUAGGGGAGCAAACCGGAUUAGAUACCCGGGUAGUCCUAGCUGUAAACGAUGCUCGCUAGGUGUCAGACACGGUGCGACCGUGUUUGGUGCCGCAGGGAAGCCGUUAAGCGAGCCACCUGGAAGUACGUCGACAAGGC